UACGUAGGGGGCUAGCGUUGUCCGGAAUCAUUGGGCGUAAAGAGCGCGUAGGCUGCUCGGUAAGUCCGCUGUAAAAGUCAAAGGCUUAACCUUUGAAUGUCAGUGGAAACUGCCGGGCUAGAGUCCGGAAGAGGCGAGUGGAAUUCCUGGUGUAGCGGUGGAAUGCGUAGAUAUCUGGAGGAACACCGGUGGCGAAGGCGGCAUCCUGGACCAACACUGACGCUGAGGAGCGAAAGCCAGGGGAGCAAACGGG
rnacentral:rRNA from 1 species